UUCAGGUGAAAUUAGGUGUGAUCCCUUGAGGCAACAGGCCUGGCUGGAUUAUCUUCUUCCAAGUGGUACGUCUGUUGCAGCCCUGUUGCUGAAGGAGGACAGUGGCUUCCAACUCAGGGAACACCAGCACUAUCUUCAGGCCAGGACUGGAUGGAACUGCAGGGCUGAUUUGAAGGAGACGGCAUAACCCCACAGAAAAUAGAGGAGUAACACUACAGAAAUGCACUCCUUUUGUUCAAGUGGUGGGAAAUUUACACUGGUUUGUGAAAUUUAAUAAAUAUGCAUUCUCCACAUUC